AAAGAGGACUUACAGAAAGAACUGAAGUAGUUGAAGGGGUUUGCCAUCCUAUAAGAACAAUAUCAACCAACCAAACCCCUGCCCUCGAUCUUCCAUGGACUAAACAACCAUCCAAAGACUACACAAGGAUGAGCCUAUGGCUCCAUCUGCAUAUGAAGCAGAGGAUAUCCUUUUCAGGCACCAAUGGGAGCAAAUGCCCUUGGUCCUGUCAAGGCUUGAUGCCCCAGUGUAGGGAACUCUCAGAAUGGGCAGGUUGGAAGGAGUGAGUGGGUGAGUGAGGAACUGCCCUCAGAACAGGAGGCAUGAGGGGAAAUAAUAGCUGGUUUCUGGAGGGCAAAUCAGGAAAAUCAUAUUUAAAAUGUGAAUUAAAAAAAAUCCCCUCCCCCAAUGAAAGAAAAAGAAAGAGAAAUGGAGAAAGAAAAAGAAAAACAAAUGGGGGUACAUAACUAAACAGAUGCCCACUGGGGAUGCGACAGCGUUAUUCCCAUGAUAGUCAAGCAUCUUCUGGGAAACCAAAGUCUUUGGGUUCUGGGGGGAGUAUGGUUGCAAAGCUGAAACUUAAAGGAAUGGACAGAAGGGCACCACUAGGAGUGGAGCCUGCAGCUUAAUUUGACUCAACACAGGAAACCUCACCGGGCCCGGACACAGACAGGAUUGACAGAUUGAUAGCUCUUUCUCGAUUCCGUGGGUGGUGGUGCAUGGCCGUUCUUAGAUGGUGGAGCGAUAUGUCUGGUUAAUUCCGAUAACGAACUAGACUCUGGCAUGCUAACUAGUUACACGACCCCCUGAGCGGUCGGCGUCCCCCAACUUCUUAGAGGGACAAGUGGCGUUCAGCCACCCGAGAUUGAGCAAUAACAGGUCUGUGAUUCCCUUAGAUGUCCGGGGCUGCAUUAGCGGCACACUGACUGGCUCAGUGUGUGCCUACCCUACAAAGUCAGGCGCGGGUAUCCCAUUGAACCUCAUUCGUGAUGGAGAUCGGGGAUUGCAAUUAUUCUCCAUGAACGAGGAAUUCCCAGUAAGUGCUGGUCAUAAGCUUGCGUUGAUUAAGUCCCUGCCCUUUGUAUACACCACCCUUCCCUACUACCAAUUGGAUGGUUUAGUGGGGCCUGAUCGGCCCAUGGCCCUGUUGGAGGGCUGAGAAGAAGGUCGAACUUGACUGUCUAGAGGAAGUAAAAGUUGUAACAAGGUUUCUGUAGGUGAACCGGUGGAAG
rnacentral:rRNA from 1 species